CCGAGUAUGCCCUUCUGGGCGGACCUCCAACCCACUGUAUACUACUUUUUGUUGCUUUGGCGGGCCCGCGCAAGCUGCUGGCUUCGGCUGGUAAGUGCCCGCCAGAGGAAACUAAACCCUAAAAAUUUUUAUUGUCUGAAAAAAUCUAAAUAUUUA
rnacentral:misc_RNA from 1 species